rnacentral:snRNA from 1 species
GGAUGUGAGGGUGAUCUGGCUACGACAUCUGUCACCCCAUUGAUCACCAGGGUUGAUUCAGCUGAUCUGGCUGGCUAGGCCGGUGACCCCUUCCUCCCUUAAUGCUCCAUGUGCAUCCCUCCCAAAGCUGCAUGCUGGGCCGAAGAGGACGACAUUCCCUGAUAGAGGAGGACCAGUCUUCGGUCAAGGGUAUAUGAGUAACUGCAUGCCUCUGCUCGAACCUCCAAACAAGCUCUCAAGAAUUGCUUCUUAAGCCUGGCACGGUGGCACACGUCUUUAAUCCCAGCACCUAGGAGGCAGAGG